GAUGAACGCUAGCGGGAGGCUUAACACAUGCAAGUCGUGGGGCAGCAUGGUGUAGCAAUACACUGAUGGCGACCGGCGCACGGGUGAGUAACGCGUAUGCAACCUACCCAGUACAGGGGGAUAGCCCGGAGAAAUUCGGAUUAAUACCCCAUAAUGAUAUAGAGAGGCAUCUUUUUAUAUUUAAAGCUACGGCGGUACUGGAUGGGCAUGCGUAAGAUUAGCGAGUUGGUAGGGUAACGGCCUACCAAGGCUCCGAUCUUUAGGGGUCCUGAGAGGGUGAUCCCCCACACUGGUACUGAGACACGGACCAGACUCCUACGGGAGGCAGCAGUGAGGAAUAUUGGUCGAUGGGCGCAAGCCUGAACCAGCCAUCCCGCGUGAAGGAAGAAGGCGCUAUGCGUUGUAAACUUCUUUUCCGGAGGAAUAAAAUUUUGUACGAGUACAGGACUGAAGGUACUCCGGGAAUAAGCAUCGGCUAACUCCGUGCCAGCAGCCGCCGUAAGAC
rnacentral:rRNA from 1 species